ensembl:lncRNA
CUUCUUUAGCUCAACUUCUAACCUCCUCUUCCCAGAAGGUAUUAUUUGCAUUGGUACAGUUGUGUUGCACUGAACCCUUAUCUGGGCAGCACCGAUGUGAUAACCAUUCAACUUCUCCUCAAACUUCUGGGGCCUGCAUUAUUUAAUUGAUAACUUACCAAUGGAAGAAAAAUUUUGGAGCGUUUACACUACUUUGAAGUACAAACCAACUUUUCUAGGAACUGCCACUGCCUCUUUGUAGAGGACAACAAAGGCUUGAGCAGACAUGACUAAACUGUAUUUAAUCCACAAAUUCACAGUCAGAGUCAUUGAAGUAAAUGCUUUUUUGAAGUGGUACUUACGGCCUGACAGGGUUGCUGUGGUAGAAAUGCUGAGUCAUGGCCUGAACCAGUGAUUGAGCACCUGGUGGGAAGGCAGGGCCUUCCCAGGGGAGCUCAGGUGCAAGCAAUACACCUGAGUGACUGGAAGGGGUGGAGCCAGGAUCCACCCCUUCCCAGACCUAUUUUGAGGAGUGGCAGUGGAGGUAACAGUAUCUCUCUGGAGAUCCCUGCCUGCCUGAGGCCUUCUAAAGCUUGCCAGGGGGAUGAAAUACAGACGUUAUACGUGACAUCAUAUAUUGUAUGCUGCAAGGAAAUGUGGAGAAUGAUGAGUAAUGAAGAACCACUGCCCAGAGUCAGUAUCAACAGGUAUUCCUUGGACUGGUGUGAAGAAAAGCAGAUAGCAGUCCUGCUGGUCUUAAAGAACAACGUGAAGCUUUUAAGGUGACUUGCCAAAGAGAGAAAAGAGGAGACAUACAGGAGCAAUAUGAACAAAACAGAAAUUUAUGUCGGAGAGGUGCCAGAUGAGACAUCUGGGAACGGCUGGAGGACAAACUAUGCAAGAAGUUUAGCCACAAUCCAUGAAAGCUAGAAAAAUUCUGCCUCAGCUCUGUCAAAACCCCAGAAAAUGAAGCUGUGCCUGAAGCAACACGCUGCAACUAGCUGGGCAUUUUAUUUAAGGCUUAAGCAGCAACAAACAAACAAGCAAACAAACAAAAAACACUCUGAGAGGGAAACACACAGGAAGGUUUCAUGAAAUGCUGUUUCCUUUGUAUCCUGAAUGCCUUUGGAGUGUCUGGGAGGUCCUGCACGGCCUGGCCUGUGGCAAAGUGGGUCAGAGAGCAGCCUCCUGCCACCUGAUGUUUUGUUUUUGCUGAGAGGAUGGAAACACUUGCAAAGUGUUAUGAUGCUUCUGUCAGUACUCGACAUGCACGAAUACCAAGAUUCAGCAAUUUGCAGUCGUGGAUCAUAGUGCAGCAGGAGACCCCCCCCAGCAAACCCUCCCUGUGCUCCCCUGGUGCAGAACAGCUCCUGCAGCAUCACUUCCCCCCUGAGGACCCCAGGUGACAGGGGACUGAGCAUCCCAUUGGUGAAACAUGACAUUCCGUGGGGCCAGGCCAAUCUGCUGUCUUUGCCACCCUCGCACCACUCUGGCCAGCAGAGAAGCUCAGGCUGGAAGCCAAGGACAGACCCGUGGCAGGAGUAUCACUGAGCCUGUGGGAAGCCUCACACUGUAGAAAAGCCCCAGGAGGACGGGAAGCAGCCGUGGCUGUGAAUCACCCUAGAAACAAGUGAUUCGCUAUGGGUAAAUGUGUGGAAGUAGCACAGUACUGUAAAGUGUGACUAAGGCUAUUAUCACAGAGCAGUGGGAAGGCUCCCAGCCCCCAGCACUUUCUUGAGGGUAUGUUAAUUAUUGCUAGGGGCGUGAAUACCUCAUGUCUGGAAUAAGCAACUCUUACUAAGCAGCUCCAUUGCUCUGUCCAUGCUAGAAACAAUGCUGGAUUGUCUAGAAAAGACUGUCGAGAACUUCUUAUAAAAUAUCAUUAGUGGAUUGGAACUAGGUGAUCUUUAAGGUCCCUUCUAACUCAAGCCAUUCAAUGAUUCUAUGGUUUCAGUGAUAAAACUACCAUAAUUCAGUACCAUCCAUCAGUGAGUGCUCAUUUAAUUAAUGGUAUCUCCCUCUUCAGCAGCAGAGAUCUUUGCUCUGAAGAGUCAUGGUCCUAAUGAGGACUCAGGCUGCCCUUGCAAAGAGUCAGGACAGGAGAUACGAACGCUGCUGCUCUAAGAAUCCUUGCUCCGGUAACUGUGAAGAAUGAUGUCUUGUCUCCCUGUCACCAAAGCAACAAGGCCGGUGUAUGGUCUGCUCCUGCCACAACCCAGGAGCUGUUUGGGCACUCAGGUGCUGGGAGUUAGCGUAGUACUUAACACAGACCAUUUAGAACUGACCAAUGAGGAAUGUUGGUGGAAGUCCUGCCUUGUGAUUCCAUGGUGCUUGGUCACAUUGCCAGAUCCUUCUGGGUCCCCUCAUAUUUCAUGAGGAAAAAAAUUACCUUGGCUAAGUUGAACUUCGUUGUUAGGAACAUGAUGGGAGUUAUUACUCUCUUCUGGACUGCACAUGUCUGGGUGCUACCAGGGAUUUGCCAAGCCUUAGUUAACAUUGUAUCACACAGUAGUUUGGUGUCUAGAGAAUGAAAAAGUCUAAAAUAUGCAAAUGAGCCCAGAACUGAGCUGCUUCUAAUCAUGCUGGAUUUUCUGUUUUCAUUUUAUGGCCCUGCACUCCCAAGGUCACCCUGAAUGUACCGUUUCACUUGUUUUAAGGCUUAAAUUGUCCUAAUGGGCAGAAAGUUUAUAAACAGAAGGCACCAUCAUCCUUCAGAGAGAAAGGUAAUGCAUAGUGUUGUUAUGCUGGAAGCACAGAGGCAAGCACGAUUCUUACAAAGACAAGACAGCUUUUUAUGUAAAUAACCUUGGAGCAAGGACAUUACCAUAACAAGACCUUCACCAAUAACACUUUCCAUCCUAGUUUCAAAUUUUGUAUACAAUAUGCAUCGUGACAACAUUACUACAACUCUGCUUAGCUAUUCCAAAGGAGAAUGCAGGCUAGGACUAAUGAUUACACUAAUGCAUUGUGUUGGUUAAUUGAAAGAAUUUAUGUCAUGAGAUAAAUGUCAGAGUUCAAAGUCAAGCGUGUGUACGUCUGUGAGAAAGAAAGAGAGAGAAUAUAUGCAGGUAGGAUUGUCAUCAGGGAAAGGACUAAAUAUAAGCCUCUGUGAUUUUAUAUCAGGGAAAACAUCCAGAAAUCCUUUCUAGGCAAUACAUUGCAUUCUUGUGGGACAGUAAUGAUGUACAAGCAAAGCAGCAUCUGUAAUGAGCUUGUAGUCAUCAUUGAGACUGGGAGCAUUAAUGCCAAUUUAUCUGGGAGGGAAGAGUGAGAAUAUGCCACUGAUGCCAGAAAAAUCCAUAAUAUUUCCAAGCAUUUUCUUUUCCACCUGGCCAAGAGCGCACACACACACUAUUAAUGAGAACACUAUUUUUUCCUACUAGCUUCCUGGAAGCUAUUUGCUUGUCUAAAAUACUUCACAGAGUCAUGGUAUAAUAAUACUAACUACUCACUACUGCGUCUGUUAUCUCAGACAGCAACUGUACUGUGAACUUGGAAGAGCAUUUUAAAAAAUGACGAAAGCCUAUCUUGAUCAAUGUUGACUAGUCAAUUGCUUAGUAUAUGCAAAAAACAUUAUCAUCCUUAAUUGCCCCUGUGAUACUGCACUCUGAGAGGAAUAUCCCUCAAAGGAAACCCUUGGGAGAAAAUGCUACUCUCAGCUUUUAUGAGACUAAUGUGGCUUGGAGUGAAUUGAUCAAACUCAUUCCGCACAGUAACUUAAAGUGCCUACUUAGCAUUAUUCCCAGUUGGUAGAUUACUCUGUCUAGUUUAUAGAUUAGUAAAAUGUUUCCCUUGUUGUUGGUUUCACCUGCAUUUUAGCCUGUAUUAAUAUUUAAAUUCCCUAAGAACAACUUUUGUCAUCUCUUUGAUGACAACAGAAGAAAUUAAAGCAAAGCAAAGGUAAACUUUGAGAUUUAUUCUUUUAUCUCCUACUUGGUACACUACGACUUUCUCAUUAUAGCUCUUCAGAGAAACAGGCUGUACAGGUUGCAGCCAAGUGCCACAUGAGACAACGAUAUCUGACUAUUUGUUGAAAGAGUCCAAGGGCUUUGAUUCAGCAAAGCAUUUCAAUAACUGCCUCACUUUCAGCAAUGAGCAUCUCCAGGUCCUUUAAUGCUUUGUUUCUGCACUGCCCUUAGGUUCCCCAGGGUGGAUGACAAUCGUAGACUCAUAGAAUCAUGUAAUCAUAGAAUCAUAUAACAGUUUGAGUUCGAAGGGACCUUAAAGACCGUCCAGUUCCAACUCCCCUGCCAUGGACAGGGUUGCCACCCAUUUCAUCAGGUUGCCCAGAGCCCAAUCCAAUCUGGCCUAAGGAUUAGG